GGUUGGCCCCGGGCCAGUGGGAGUCCCAGAGCCGCCCCUGCGUGCGCCUCGCGCGCCCAGACGACCCCGGGGGGUGGCGCGGGCGGACCCCGCUUCGCUGGAGCCAGCCCGGCGGGUCCCAGGUCCUAUAAGGUCACAGUCCCUGGUCUUGGACGGUGUCACAGCCUCCUUCCGUCUCCCUCCGUGGCACCCAGGAGUUCUGUUGUCCACCUCGAAGAUGCGGAGCCGUGCAACAUCUGCCAUUUCCUUACUGUGACCCUGUCAUCCAGUAAGGCCGAUGCAGCUCCCAGCAUAGAGACUAAUGGAUUUCUACCUUAACUAGCUCACCUUUAUCCUCCCUCUACAUUAGACUCCAUGUGAAAGACCAACUCCUUCUGUGGUGGAAAUUGACUUUGACUACAGUUCUGCACUGGCAGCCCUGUUGACGGCUUGAUUCAGCCAUCUUACAGCCUUGACACUUACCUGGGCAAAGGGCAGGCAAGAGGUCUACACUCUGUCUGAAGAUGCCUCACAACUGUGGCCAUUUGAGCCACCCUAUAACAUCCGGCCCGAAGAGCUUCAGACCACCUUUGCAGUUCAGUUUCUCCCCUUCGUGAACGCUGUGCUUCUCAGUCACAGAAGUAAGUACAUAGAUUUUAUGGUAUAAUUAUUUUUGUUUGGUGACCUGCAUCAGAUGUGGGAUGGAAGAAGACCCCUUAAGAACCCUGAGUCCAGUGAGUACAUCAGUGCUGUACCCAUGGAGGCCCCUGCACUCACUGCUUUCCUGCUCAUCAUGGAGUUGUAGGUAAUCUCUCCCAAAUCCAAGCUCCACUCUCUUCAUGUUGACCUUCCCAAUUUAUUGGGCAAUCUCAUUGAAGCUUUUUGGUAUGCCAUACUCUCGUCUGUAAGGCCAGGAUGCCCAUGCUUCCCUGGGUCUGGGCGCAGUGGUAAAGUCCUGGGCUCCCGGUGGGUUGGUUUUCUUCAGGAAUGUAAAGGCAGAGUUGGGUUCCACCUGGUCCAAAACCUGGAGCAGGAUCUUGUGCCUUUUUGGAAAACUGGUAAACAGUUUGCAGUAGCCACUUUAAGAAACCUUUAAUUUAGAUAUGAAAGGCUAUUUCAGGAGGGAUGCCCUUUAAAAAAGAUAAUUCCCAAACCUCUUUAAGAUAGUGGAAUGCAUUCUUUUAUUAGGAUGCAGAAGUUUCUAAAAAAACAAAAUGAAAAAAAAUUUUUUUUAAAAAGGGGGCACCUGGGUGGCUCAGGUUGU